ACAUGCGAUCAUAAACCGGCGAAUAACAUUUCACUUAGAUUUCUCGUAGUGUAUUGGGCACAGUCUUAACUCCAAUUCAAAUUUUGCCGCUGCCACAAAGCAAGCGAGAGGCAGACAUAUUCAGUCCUCCGUGAGAAGAGAGAUACGGAUAGGAGGGGCAAGCUAUGACAGCACGAAGUAAUGACAAUACGAAACAUGAACAAAAAGAAGGAAAGAGGGAAAGAAGGACUACGCGCCCCAACAUAGUUAACCAACUAGUUAUAUGUAAAAACUAACUCAGCCAAACACGAAUUACAUCAAGAUAAAAGGUUGCUAACUGCCCAUAGAACGAACGGUAUAUCCCAAAAACUGCAAUAGAAGAAAUGAGCAUGGUAAGGGGGAGACGGUAACAAAAACAUGCAAUGCUGCACCAAAACGUGUGAAGAAAAAAAGGCAAGAAAAGCA
rnacentral:sRNA from 1 species